GACGAACGCGGGCGGCGUGCCUAAUACAUGCAAGUAGAACGCUGAAGGAGGAGCUUGCUUCUCUGGAUGAGUUGCGAACGGGUGAGUAACACGUAAAGAACCUGCCUCAUAGACUGGGACAACUAUUGGAAACGAUAGCUAAUACCGGAUAACAGCAUUAACUGCAUGGUUGAUGUUUAAAAGUUGGUUUUGCUAACACUAUGAGAUGGCUUUGCGGUGCAUUAGCUAGUUGGUGGGGUAACGGCUCACCAAGGCGACGAUACAUAGCCGACCUGAGAGGGUGAUCGGCCACACUGGGACUGAGACACGGCCCAGACUCCUACGGGAGGCAGCAGUAGGGAAUCUUCGGCAAUGGACGAAAGUCUGACCGAGCAACGCCGCGUGAGUGAAGAAGGUUUUCGGAUCGUAAAGCUCUGUUGUAAGAUAAGAACGAGUGUGAGAGUGGAAAGUUCACACUGUGACGGAUCUACCAGAAAGGACG
rnacentral:rRNA from 1 species